rnacentral:lncRNA from 1 species
CGGGGCGGCAAAACGUCCGCCCGGGCCCGAGGCGGGCGGAGGCAGCUGUGGUUACGUGCGGGGGGCCGGUGACGCAGUCGCGGGGCGCUGGGACGCGGCUUGCGGAGCCGGCCGGCGAGCGCAGGCCCCAGGCUCGGGCGCGGCGGCGGGACAGCACCUACCUUCCCGGCUUCGGGUCCGGGAGUGCGGGGCGCGGAGCCGCCGGAGCGCUGCCUCCCUCCUUCCUCCUCCCCUCGCCCCCGCCCCGCGGCGCGACACACAAUACUCGCCGGAAGCGGAAGCCGCGCCGAGGCUCGUGUCAGUGGAAGCUGGGGUGUCGGCGGGCGGCCGCGGCCGGGUCUAGCGGUGCCUGCGGAAGAAGGAGGAGGAGGGCUGGCGAUGAGAAGCAGCAGGGGGAAUCAAGGGCAAGAAGGGACCCAGAGGGGCAGGUGGCUGAGAUGCUGGCGUCCAGGUGACCCGAGGAAUCCUCUGGAGAUACAGGCCCGCGCAUGCGCGUGCUCGAGCGCUGAAGCCCAUUGCCCGCAGGGCGCUGGACUGGCGCCCCGGCCGGCGAGGCUGUCUAGUCCAGGCUCCAGGCCCCGGCUCUGGCCAGGCGCCGCCGCCUCCCGGUGCAGCUGAAAGUCGACGAAGAGGGCGGGGCGGGGGCGGCUUGUGGACUUCCACACUUUUCCUCUCUUCGGGCCAGUCUGGGGAGAGGGUGGCUAGCUGUGGCGGCGGCCAAUUACGUGGCGGACCUGCGGGGCUAAGCUGGCACGUCACUUCCGACUAGUGGAGUUUUUAGCCUUUUAACAUUCAAGGAUUAGAGCUCCCUCUUUGCCCACUAGCAGGGCAUUAGCUGGUGCUGAAGACAGUGGCUGCUUGGCGAGCCUGGAUCUCCAAGUGACCCCCUCAGCAACUCCUGAUGAACAGGACUGAAGCCAAUAUUAAAGCAAGUCAACCAAAGGUUCUCUGGUGUAGACAAGACAGCAAAAGGACAGACUACCUUGUGGAACCUAGCAUUGUUCUCCUUCUGCAGCACUAAGUAACAUUUGUUCUCCGUUAAGAUCUUUGCAAACCACACACAAGAAUUGCUGGUCAUCCUGCCAAUAGAUGCUGCUCACAGAACCAAAUUUCCUGUGCUGAAUUGUCACUCAUGGGCCUGAGAGUAGGAGACUGGAGACCAAGGUGGCUAGAAUCCAGUUGGGCCUGAUGUCUCCCUGUUGAAAGGGCUCCUUGUGGAAUGAAUAGCACAUGGCUCCUGUGGUGGAUCUGAUAGUGGCAUAGCACCAAGUGAUGCAGGCCUGCCAGGGGCCACAGACACAGAAGAUGCUCCCGGGGUCCCCCAUGUACUCCAGACACACUGCAGGCCACCUCUCCCAGCAGGUUGCCAGUCAUGGGCCCCAUCAUCAUGACUUCUGUCCAAGGUGUGCUCGGAAAUCUCUUCCUUAACUGUGACUUUCUGACAGGUGGAGGAUGUGGUCAGGAGUGGGAAAAGGAUUCGAGACGGGAAGAGGGAGGGGUUCAGGAUGAAGAGAGAUAAUCUGUGCCACAGAUGCUGGCCCUGCAGUUAGCUCCCACCUAGUCCGUGCACACACAUUCUAAUCCCCUCCCAUUCCUUUACAUGCUGCGGCCAGAGAGGCCUUUCUCAAAGUGGAAGUCUCAUCCUCACUUCUCUGGUUACAGUGCUGGGCCAUGGGUAACUUACAAGGCUUAGCAGGAACUGUCUGCGCACUCCCCCUUCCUGCCCACUACCUUGUUUCCCUCCAGUUGCGAGAGAAAACAUUGAUUGAGCAUUAACUAUGUGCCAGGCUUGUCCUAAGUCCUUUGCAUGUAUUCACUCAAACAAUCCUCACAACAUUCCUAUCACAUCUCCCAUUUCACAGUGAGGGUUCUAAAGCACGUAGUGGGUGAGGAACUUGUCCAGGGUCACACAACUAAGUGGGGGUGGAGAAACAUCAAAUCUAGGUGGUCCAGGUGGUGGCCAGAACCCAUCAGCACCUCACUACAGCUGCCUCCAGUUUCUCGCUCUAGGAAAUACUCUUCCCUGUCAACUCCUGUUGUCCUCUGGGCUCAGUUGACAUGUCAUCUCCUUGAGGAGGACAUCCUGAGAUGCUCCCCGACUAGGGUGGGCACCCACUUCCACACUCCAAAUGCCUAUUUGACCUGUGUAUCGCUGCAUCCCCACUGCCUGGCAGAUAGCAGGCCCCUAAUAAAUAUGAUUUGAGCAAAUAAAUAUAGUUCUUCAAAAAAUAGGGAGGACUUCUUGCUUCAGGUAAUGGUAGGCUAGGACAUUUGGACCAACCCUCCUGCAGAAAAUAGCCAUUUAUUUUGAUGCAAUAUAUCUGGCUAUGACUAGAGAUUUCAAAUAUUUGGAGGGCUAUUAUGUGAAGAACUAAACUUACUCUUUGUGACAUAGAGGUCAGAAAUUGGUCGUUUCCAUAGAGUAUGAGAGAGACAGAAUUGUGCUCAUCAUAAGUAUCUUUUUUAAAAGUUAGACUUAAUAAAAUGGGCUGCCUUGGUAGGUGGUGAGUUCUCUGUCACGAAAGAGAUUCAGCCACUUGCUCUGAGAAAGCAUGGAGAAUAUCAACAUUGUAAGGGUCGACCACCUCAUCUCUGAGGCCCCCUCCUCACUUAGGUUGCCAUUGCAGGUGGAACACUGGGCUGAGUGUCAAAGAACCUGGGUUCCACAAGCUGUGCGACCAUGGCUGGUUGUUUUGGAUCUCAUUCCUAAUAUCUGUUAGUUAAGCUGACCCGUCAAUACUGACCCACUUCACAGAGUUAUGAAGGGAUUAAAUUAGGUAUUACAUGUAAAUCUGUUUUGUUUGCUUUUUGUUGUUCUUUUUUGUUUUGCUUUUUUCUUUGCAUUAUGAAAUCCCAAGUCAACUUUUUCCAUUCUUUUAUUUUUUUAAAAAUUGACAUCAUCAUUAUAACCACAAAAUAAUUUUUAAAAUGGAAAAAAAAAACUCACCUGCAACCCCACAAUCUAAUACAAUAAUCAUACUUUUUUCCCUUUAUUCUCCUUUAUUGUGACCAAGGAUGACUUUGGGCAUUGCUGUGAGGAACUAUUUCGUUUAACACCCUACUACCUGAACAUGAUGCGUACUCAGCCUUUCACCACCCCCCAAGUAGCUACACAUGAUGUGAUAAUAGUAUUGGUGGUGGUUUUAGAGAGUUGGAGAGAAAACUGAAGUUGGAUUUGGGUAAAAGAAAAAAGAGUGGGAAUUAUUUUUUCUCCAUUCUAAAGCCCAUAAAGCAAUGUUAAUUGUUCCCACCCCUCUGCUAUUCUGUCUCCUCAGGUACUGUGUGCAGAAAUGUGAUUGAGAUUCAAGUCAGGGCCUCUCUGCCCUUUUCCCUCCAGAAACAAAACCAAGAUAAUUUAUCCUGAACACGGUGAAAAAAGGAAGGGAGGGAGGAGAAAAAGUCCGGGUCUCACCUGGGAUUCUCUGUCUCCUGCAACAUGAAGGAUUUAGCCUGGGAGGAGGUGGUGAGAACUCUGGGAGAGAAAAAAGAAGGAAAGAAUAGUUUUACCCAUGCUGAAGUUAAUUUAAACCUUCACCUAGAGAAGCAAAAAAAAAAACCCACACUUUCCCAUUUUGUGCCUCCCUUCCUAGAGUUUUAGCCAAAGGUUUAGCUAAGUAAUUGGUUUUACCAGGGCACUCACUCCUCCUAUCCCAAGUCUGUUUGACUCCCUCCCCAUCAUCCUCCUCACCUCUUUUCAGGCAGGGUGGGGAUAGCAGCAGGAGGAGAUUUUGGGAGCCUGGCAACUCCUGCAAGGACCGCAGGACAGCCCCUCUGUGGGGAUGCGUGGUGCCCCAUCUGCCGCCCUUCUGAAGAAUGCACUGCCUUCACUUUUUACUGUGUUAGAGUCCAUCCAGACUGUUCUAUCCAAAAAAGUUUCUUUUUCCCCCACAGGCAAUCAGGAAAUGAUUCCUUUCCCGACUGCUUCUGUCUAGUGCCUGGGAAUCUUGAGUCAAUCCCUCAGUAAGUCAGUGACUAGGGAAAUCCCUCUCUGAGACUCCCAGUUCAUGUUGCUUAGGGAACCUGAUAUUUUCGUGAAACCUGCCUACACAUGGGCAGCCCAACAGCAGAACAAAUGGUGGUGACCAAAGUGAACAAAGAAGUAUAGUUGUGCCAGCUUCGUAGUUGCCCAUGUGGACAAGUCAGCAGGAUCAGGACACGAGGAAGAGUAAAUGUGAGACAGUCAAUGUGACUUCUGCGAUAAACAGAUUUUUAAACCCCGAAAUUUUGCAAAAUUUUGGUGAAACCUGAACUUUCUUCGUUGCAUAUACUGGCACUAUCUGUACCAUCAUACAACCGUCUCACAUUAAAGCUAUUUUUCUUGGGCACUGAUGAGUAAGGUUGGUAUGUUUGAGUUCCUCAGAUCAACAAAAACCCAUUUUCCUGUAAGUCUUACAUUUAGUAUUUAAGGAACUAAAACUUAAAUACAUUUUGUGAAAUGGUUGACACUUCACUGAUAAUGAUUUAUUGCUUGGAUUAAUAAAUUUUCCAAAAGUUGUCUUAUGUAGAAUAUGGUUUGCAACCAGCAGAACCAUUAAUCUAUACUGCAAUGAUAUGCACUAUGUAUAAUUGUUUAAAAGCCUCUACUUAAUGAUGUAAAAUGCUCUAUUUAAUUACACAUUUGGGUAAACUGUAUACUAACAUCUGAUGGCAUUUUUCCACUGUUUGUUGCUUUUUUCAAAUACUUUAUUGUACAAAGCUGUUCUUAAUAUUUUUCAAGUUUUUUUCUUUGAAUUUUGCUAAUGUUUUCCUUGAAUUAUGAGCACUGACAGAAUGUGCUUAGCACUUUUGGCUAUUCACACAGCUUUUGAGCAUGAUUUGCAUCCAAUAUUUACAUUGCUAGCAAUAAUAAGCCAUCUGUGAGUUUUGUCAAAAGUUAUUGGGGAUUUUUUAAAUUUUAGAAAUGCAAAUUAUUGUUUCUUUGAACUAACUCUUAUGCAGUUGCAAAGGCAUUUCCAGUUGUUAUAGUUUGUGUACAAUAUCAGGUGUUCCAGAUUAUGAUUCAUUAUUAAUAUCAUUGCUUCCUUGUUCCCUCUGAGGUCCAGAAGAUUCAUGUUUACAAUAUUUAGAAACAAUGUUAAAAAGGUAUCCAAAGUUUGUCACUUUAUUAUUAGUUUGUUCUUAAUAUUCUGUUUAAGUUUUUGAAUUCAUAGAUAUCAAAACGCUGCACAAUUAUGAUUUCCACAGGAAUAACAACACACUAACAAUAAGAACCAAAAACAGCAAAUAGGCUGCCUACAAGUUUUGACAAUAUUAGGAUAAUGAUAAUGACAGUUUUUCUAAAUCUCACAGUAAAGAAUGCAGCAACCCAGCAACACUGCUACCUGUGGCCUCAGGCUGCAGUGUCAGCUCUUCCCUGGGUCUCCAGCCUGCCAGUCUAACCUGAAAAUUAUGUACUUGCCAGCCCCCACAGUCACGUGAGUGAACUGGCCCAGGCUGGUCACCAGGGUCAGUUUCUCUGUGUGUCAUUAAUUCAUUCAGUCUUCAGCAGUCUCUUUGGAGCUGAGAUGUACCUACCAUCUGCCUUUUGGGUGCUUAGGGUGGAGAACCAGAAAAGUAUAACCUAGUGUGUAUCCUCAAAGAGCUAACAAUAUGGGGUGGUACCUAUAGGUCUGGAAACACUUUACUGACUCUGUGAGGCAUACCAGGAGACGUCAGAGAACAGUCCCUCCUCAAAUGCCAAAUGAGAUGCAGAAGAAAUAGUUUGCUCAAGUUCAUGGGCCAGAUAUCCCAGUGGUCAGGGAGUUUCAUGAAUGAGAUGGAACUUUGCAUGGAACCCGAGGGAUGUGUAUGAUUUGAGUAGAUGAAGAAAAUGAGACUUUCCAAGCAGCUAGAAGUUAGGGAGCAGCAAGAUGUGUGGUGGGAUUGAGCACAGUUGGUUCAGAGGAUAGACUGCAGUUUUAAUAAUUUGUAGUAAAUAUCUCCCAACUGUUUGGCACUAUUGGAGCAAGUUCUUGAAUGCCAAAUGAAGGCAUAAAUCAGUAAGAGGCAUAAUAAAAGGCUGAGCAGUGCUUGGCUUUUUACGAACUGAUCCUGAUAGGAGCAGCUGUUCAACAAAGUUGCCAGGUCACCGUUACAUAGUCCCUGCCUUCUAGGGGCUCACUGCCUACUGGGAGAGACAGUCUGAAAGUUGGUGGAGCAUGUAACUGUUGGAUGAGGAGUUUGAGCCUGUGGACUGUGGGACCCCCGAGGAGGGUGUGGCUACUCUAGGCAGAACAAUCCCACAGUUUAUUUAUAUUUAACCUUGAAAUUCAUUAGAGGAUUUUUCAGCAGAGGUUUGGUACUUGUUAAUGUUAAGGUUUGCAUUCUCUAGAACCUCAAGGAAAGCUGUACCGUGCAUAAUGUACCCUCUUAUGUUAAUGUUGUGUACUGUGAUCCUGUUUCAGGGACUUGCACUUAGGAAUCUGUUACAGUGAGCACAGAAGCAGACCUGUGGGCUCAUAGUCUUCACCCCCCACCCAUAUAUACAAGAUGAACAGAGUGGAGGUUAAACAACUUGACUAAACAACACAGUUCAUGGUAAAGCCCAAGACUGUACCUGCCCAUCCACUGCCUUUUCCAUGUAUCCUGGAACUGAGCAUAGACCUCUUCCCAGGCAGAGCUGACAGCAAGUAAAGGAGAUCAUAAUCAGGGGACCAAACAACUUUGUCUAAAGUGUGAAUGUCACCUAAGGAGAAGCUGUGAGAUCAGAAGGGUGGGGCAGAGGAGCAGACACCAUGAGGGAGAGUCCUUGGGGGUACAUCUGCCAGACUGACACUGUCUGGCCUGGGCAGUGGAGGGGCUAGCAGGAACCACAGGUACUGGUGGUGUGGCUACUACCGUUACAACUGCCUGUGCUUGGACAUGGACCCUCUGCAAUAUGCGGCAGUUUCAUUCAUUGCCCCCUACAUUCUACACCAAGUAGAAAUGGAAGGCAAUUGGAUACUUCACAGACAAGAUCUAAGUGGAGAAGGAAUGCGUCCUGUGGCUGCAGAGAUCCUUGGAGCUUGGAGGGGAGAGCUUGAGCCCCACUGAUGAUGACCUCCCACAGCUCGCCAACUCAGCCCUCCCUAAGUCCCCAUCGGGGGCCAAUUCUCACUCUGGGGUUGGGGGGACUCCACCAUAGCUCAUCCAUCAUAGGGAUGUUGGUAUCUACUGUGGGUUGGGUAGGGCCGAUGUGCUGAGGAUGGCUCCCCCACAAGCAAGAGAUGUGGAUUUGGGGAGCUUCCCAUCUUGUGUUGAAGGAACAUAACUCAGAAUAAUAAGAGCCAACUAUAACAAACCCACAGCCAACAUCAUACUGAAUGGGCAAAAGCUGCAGGCAUUCCCCUUGAAAAGUGGCACAGGAUAAGGAAGCCCUUUCUCACCACUCCUAUUCAAUAUAGUGUUGAAAGUCCUGAUCACAGCAGUCAGGCAACAGAAAUAAUAAAGGGCAUCCAAAUAGGAAGAGAGGAAGUCAAACUAUCCUUGUUUGCAGACAGUAUGAUUCUAUAUCUAGAAAACCCCAUAGCCUCAGCCCAAAAGGUCCUUCAUCUGAUAAUUUCAGCAAAGUUUCAGGAGACAAAAUCAGUGUACAAAAAUCACUAACAUUCCUAUACACAGUCGCCAAGCCAAGAGCCAAAUCAGGAGCACAAUCCCAUUCAUAAUUGCCACAAAAAAGAAUAAAAUACCCAGGAAUGCAGCUAACCAAGGAAGUAAAGGAUCUCUACAAUGAGAAUCACAAACGCUGCUCAAAGAAAUCAGAGAUGACACAAACAAAUGGAAAAACUUUCCAUGCUCAUGGCUAGGAAGAAUCAAUAUCAUUAAAGUGGCCAUACUACCCAAAGCAAUUUAUAGAUUCAAUGCUAUUCCUAUCAAACAAUUACAUUUUUCACAGAACUAGAAAAAACUUAAAAUUCAUAUGGAACCAAAAAGCCUGAGUAGUCAAGGCAAUCCUAAACAAAAAGAACAAAGGUGGAGGCAUCACAUUACCUAACUUCAAACUACAGGGCUACCAUGACCAAAACAGCAUGGUACUGGUACAAAAGCAGACACACAGACCAGUGGGACAGAAUAGAGAGCCCAAAAAUAAGGCCACAAACCUACAGCCAUCUGAUCUUCAACAAAGUUGACAAAAACAAGCAAUGGGGAAAGGUCUCCCUAUUCAAUAAAUGGUGCUGGGAUAACUGGCUGGCCAUAUGCAGAAGAUCGUAACUGGACCCCUUUUACUAUGUACAAAAAUUAAGAUGGUUUAAAGAGUUAAAACCCAAAAUUAUAAAAAUCCUGAAGAUAACUUAGGCAAUACCAUUCUGGACAUAGGAACUGGCAAAGAUUUCAUGAUGAAGACACCAAAAGCAAUUGUAACAAAAGCAAAAAUGGACAAAUUGGAUUUAAGAGCUUUUUCAUAGCAAAAUAAACAACAGGGCAGACAAUCUACCAAAUGACAGAAAAUUUUUGCAAACUAUGCAUCUGACAAGGGGCUAAUAUCUAGCAUCUAUAAGGAAUUUAAACACAGUUACAGG